AGCGAACGCUGGCGGCAGGCUUAACACAUGCAAGUCGAACGGAUCCUUCGGGAUUAGUGGCGGGCGGGUGAGUAACACGUGGGAACGUGCCUUUUGGUUCGGAACAACACAGGGGAACUUGUGCUAAUACCGGAUGUGCCCUUCGGGGAAGAUUUAUCGCCAUUAGAGCGGCCCGCGUCUGAUUAGCUAGUUGGUGAGGUAAAGGCUCACCAAGGCUACGAUCAGUAGCUGGUCNGAGAGGAUGAUCAGCCACACUGGGACUGAGACACGGCCCAGACUCCUACGGGAGGCAGCAGUGGGGAAUCUUGCGCAAUGGGGGAAACCCUGACGCAGCCAUGCCGCGUGAAUGAUGAAGGUCUUAGGAUUGUAAAAUUCUUUCAGCGGGGACGAUAAUGACGGUACCGCAGAAGAAGCUCCGGCUAACUUCGUGCCAGCAGCCGCGGUAAU
rnacentral:rRNA from 1 species